rnacentral:rRNA from 1 species
GGGGGAAUAUUGCGCAAUGGGCGAAAGCCUGACGCAGCGACGCCGCGUGAGGGAUGACGGCCUUCGGGUUGUAAACCUCUUUCAGCAGGGACGAAGCGAAAGUGACGGUACCUGCAGAAGAAGCACCGGCUAACUACGUGCCAGCAGCCGCGGUAAUACGUAGGGUGCAAGCGUUGUCCGGAUUUAUUGGGCGUAAAGAGCUCGUAGGCGGUCUGUCGCGUCGGAUGUGAAAACUUGGGGCUCAACCCUG